rnacentral:misc_RNA from 1 species
ACAAAGGGCAGCAAACUCGCGAGAGCUAGCAAAUCCCAUAAACCGUGGCUCAGUUCAGAUCGUAGGCUGCAACUCGCCUACGUGAAGUAGGAAUCGCUAGUAAUCGCAGGUCAGCAUACUGCGGUGAAUACGUUCCCGGGCCUUGUACACACCGCCCGUCACACCAUGGAAGUUGGCCAUGCCCGAAGUCGUUACUCCAACCCUUGUGGAGGAGGACGCCGAAGGUGGGGCUAAUGACUGGGGUGAAGUCGUAACAAGGUAGCCGUACCGGAAGGUGCGGCUGGAUCACCUCCUAACAGGGAGACAACAAAAUGUUUAAUAUUAUUAUUUUGUCACCUUAGGUCGAUCGGUAUCUCACGUUCUUAAUUUAUUAAGAAUUUCAUUUCCUAAGUUUUUCUAGGUCACACCCAUUAUUUUCCUGGGCCAUUAGCUCAGGUGGUUAGAGCGCACCCCUGAUAAGGGUGAGGUCCCUGGUUCAAGUCCAGGANGGCCCAUUNGGNUAUGNUNNNNNNNNNNNNNNNNNNNNNNNNCNCCUGNUUNCCAAGCAGGAUGUCAGCGGUUCGAGNCCGNUUNCCUCCNCUGAUUACCNCCUCUUCCNUAAUCUGUAGAAAGGAAAAUUUUUUGAGUUGAGAUCAUUAUUCUGAACGAAUCUAGCUUCCUAAUGAAAUUAUUAAGAUGCUGGACUCAUUGAAUUAAUUUCAUUGUUUUCAGAGAACCUUGACAACUGCAUAGAUUAUUUUAAAGACAAUAAGCAUCUUUAAUGAUGCAGAUUUAUUAUUUUUGCAAAUGCAUUAAUAACAAUUCUAUUAAGCUGAUGCUUCAAUUAUGAAGUUAUUGGUCAAGCUACAAAGGGCUCACGGAGGAUACCUAGGCACACAGAGGCGAUGAAGGACGUGGUUACCUGCGAUAAGUCUCGGGGAGUUGGAAGCACACUUUGAUCCGGGAAUUUCCGAAUGGGGCAACCCCAUGUACGGCCAACUGAAUAUAUAGGUUGGUGCGAGCUAACCCAGCGAACUGAAACAUCUUA